CGCAACCCGAAGGCGCAGUUAAAUACGAACCGGACCGGAUAUCCUUCCUUUUGGGAUCGACAUCGAAAGGAGCAGGACGGUGAGCCGAGCUGCUCCCUAUCAAAUCGCAGCAUUAGGAUGCCUUUUUGGCGAUUAGACGACCGGAGAAGCCGUGUUUGUUACGAAGCACCGGUGAAGACCAUAUGCUACAAUACUGGCCAGUACACCUGAUAAGAUAAACCAGACAAACCAUGUCUGCUUCAUCAUGUAACUGAUACUUGGUUGGCAGAAAUAAUGGAUGGAAAACGUGAACAUUUGCUUCAAGUCUUCAAUAAGCGGUCGGAUUGAUGGACAGAAGAAAGAAACUCACAUCCACACUCAUUCAAGGGAUGGCUGGACGUUGAAGACUCAUUUAAGCACACAGCUGGACCUGUUUAAAGCUGCUAUUUGGACUGCUUUGCAUAUGAAAAGUAUUUAAAAUAAAUUGUACCCCUUUUAAUUUG